UAGCAUAAUCAUUUGUCUUUUAAUUAAAGACUAGAAUGAAAGAUUCAACAUUUUGAUAAUAUAUUAAUAUUAAUCUUCUAAUUUAUAUUAAAUAUAAAAAAAUAUUUAUAAAAUAGAAAGACGAUAAGACCCUAUUGAACUUAACUUAAGUUAAACUGGGGCAGUUAAUUAAAUAAUACUUUAAUUUAUAUUAUUUUAACAAGACCUAAUACAAUUAAAUUAUAAUCAAGUUACCAUAGGGAUAACAGCGCAAUAAUUUUUUACAGAUCUUAUUUAAAAAAUAUAUUACGACCUCGAUGUUGAAUAGUAUUCUAGUAAAAGCAAAAUUUUACUUAAGCAAGUCUGUUCGACUUUUAAAAA
rnacentral:rRNA from 1 species